rnacentral:rRNA from 1 species
UACGGGGGGGGCAAGCGUUGUUCGGAAUUACUGGGCGUAAAGGGCUCGUAGGUGGCCAACUAAGUCAGACGUGAAAUCCCUCGGCUUAACCGGGGAACUGCGUCUGAUACUGGAUGGCUUGAGUUUGGGAGAGGGAUGCGGAAUUCCAGGUGUAGCGGUGAAAUGCGUAGAUAUCUGGAGGAACACCGGUGGCGAAGGCGGGUCUCUGGACAGUUCCUGACACUGAGGCACGAAGGCCAGGGGAGCAAACGGG